AGCGAACGCUGGCGGCAGGCUUAACACAUGCAAGUCGAGCGGGCGUAGCAAUACGUCAGCGGCAGACGGGUGAGUAACGCGUGGGAACAUACCUUUUGGUUCGGAACAACACAGGGAAACUUGUGCUAAUACCGGAUAAGCCCUUACGGGGAAAGAUUUAUCGCCGAAAGAUUGGCCCGCGUCUGAUUAGCUAGUUGGUGAGGUAACGGCUCACCAAGGCGACGAUCAGUAGCNGGUCUGAGAGGAUGAUCAGCCACAUUGGGACUGAGACACGGCCCAAACUCCUACGGGAGGCAGCAGUGGGGAAUAUUGGACAAUGGGCGCAAGCCUGAUCCAGCCAUGCCGCGUGAGUGAUGAAGGCCCUAGGGUUGUAAAGCUCUUUUGUGCGGGAAGAUAAUGACGGUACCGCAAGAUAAGCCCCGCUAACUUCGUGCCAGCAGCCGCCGCUGUAAG
rnacentral:rRNA from 1 species